AAAUGGGGUGAUCUAGAGGAUGAUUUUUUGGUAAUGCAUCAUUAUAAUAAUUCUCGAGCUGAUGUCAAAUUUGCUGAUACUGGAGGCAAUGAUUUAGUGGCUGGGAAGCUUGAGGGCAACUGUCAUUUGGUUUCUAAAGUAUCUUCUUGCACUGACCUUGAAGAAAACAAACUGAUGACAAAAUCCGUGGAUUUCGAUAUUUUCUCUGAUCAAACUACUGCCCCAACUAAUGAGGAAGGCAUAAUUGAAAUGAACUGUAAAGACGUGUGUGAAAUGAUUGUUCCAAAUGAUGUUUCAAAUCGCAAGGAAAUGCAUAGUAAACAGUCUAAACCAACAGAGAAUUAUUUAAGUUAUACUUUUCAAUCAGGUGAGGCAUGGAUAGUGUUGAAACUUCAGGUGCCCGUUGUUCUUCCUGAGGUAAAUAAUUCAGAAGUUUCUGAUGUAUCAGUUAAAUGUAAGAAUUUAGCAGUGGUUGCACAGGACAGUGGGUCAAUUCUGACUGGGAAGUGUGAACCUGAAAUUUCUGGGCAUGCUGGCAUUAUGGUGAAACUUCAGUUGCCUGUUGCAUCUGUGGUAAAUGAGUCAAAUCCUUCUGAAUUACCAGUAGCAAAUGGGAAUUCUGGUGCAGUGGCGAUUCAUCUGGGUGGUGAAUUGCUUCCACCUGUAAAGAGUGAUCCUGAAAUUUCCAGAGAU
rnacentral:misc_RNA from 1 species